rnacentral:rRNA from 1 species
UGAACGCUGGCGGUAGGCCUAACACAUGCAGUCGAACGGCAGCACAGGAGAGCUUGCUCUCUGGGUGGCGAGUGGCGGACGGGUGAGGAAUGCAUCGGAAUCUACUCUUUCGUGGGGGAUAACGUAGGGAAACUUACGCUAAUACCGCAUACGACCUACGGGUGAAAGCCGGGGACCUUCGGGCCUGGCGCGAAAGAAUGAGCCGAUGCCCGAUUAGCUAGUUGGCGGGGUAAGAGCCCACCAAGGCGACGAUCGGUAGCUGGUCUGAGAGGAUGAUCAGCCACACUGGAACUGAGACACGGUCCAGACUCCUACGGGAGGCAGCAGUGGGGAAUAUUGGACAAUGGGCGCAAGCCUGGUCCAGCCAUACCGCGUGGGUGAAGAAGGCCUUCGGGUUGUAAAGCCCUUUUGUUGGGAAAGAAAAGCAGUCGGUUAAUACCCGAUUGUUCUGACGGUACCCAAAGAAUAAGCACCGGCUAACUUUC